rnacentral:misc_RNA from 1 species
GAGAAGAACGCAGCGAAAUGCGAUACUUGGUGUGAAUUGCAGAAUCCCGUGAACCAUCGAGUCUUUGAACGCAAGUUGCGCCCGAAGCCAUUAGGCCGAGGGCACGCCUGCCUGGGCGUCACACGUCGUUGCCCCCCCAUCUACUCCUUCGGGAUUGCGGGGGGCGGAUGAUGGCCUCCCGUGCGCCUCGCCGCGCGGUUGGCAUAAAUGCCAAGUCCUCGGCGACGCACGCCACGACAAUCGGUGGUUGCGAAACCUCGGUUGCCCGUCGUGUGCGGUCGUCGCGCAUCGAGGGCUCGAAAAAAUUGCCGGGUUCCGGCUCGGCUUUCAACGCGACCCCAGGUCAGGCGGGGUUACCCGCUGAAUUUAAGCAUAUCAAUAAGCGGAGGA